ensembl:lncRNA
CGCAAGUGCAGCUUCCCGAAAAUGCUGUUCUUACAGAUACAGUUUUAUUAUGAAGGAAACACACAAGAAAAGUUCUGGAAGGGCCGGGAUUCAGUGCUCUUGUAUCCUUUCUAUGGAAUCUGGAUGUAGCAUUGUCUGUGCACCACAGUGUGUUCAUGAUUUGGGAUGCUCCACUCGGUGUCCAGAGUUUUUGUAUGGGCUGUCAUCACACAGGCAUGACUGUGUAAACCACUGGGCAUGUGACUGAGUUCAAUCUUCAGUGCUUUCUCCUUCAUGGAGGUCAGACUGGCCCAGGAUUCCAGCCUUCUAAUCAUGAGUUUGGUCUCUCUAGUGACCAGCCCUGAUCCUGAAGCUAAUUAGGCAUCUACCGUGAGUCAUUUCAUUAAGAUCAACAUUAACACAAACAUGCCCAUAACUCAGGAAGUUCCAAGGGAUUUUGAAAUUCUUUGCCAGGAAUGGGAUCAAAGACCAAAUAAAUUCUUUAGCAUACCAUAAAACCUUUAAUAUAUCAAUCACAGUUGUUGUAAGCUUCUUAUCUGACAAUUUCAAAAUCUGUGUUAUAUCUGAAUCCAGUACUGAUGCUCAUUCUGUUUCUUCAGAUCGCAUUUUCUUCUUGCCUUUAGUAUAUCCAAAAUUUUGUUGUUGGGCACUGAGGCAGUCAGGCUAUCAGUAUAAAGAUGAUAUUAGUCUGGCCAGGACCUGGGUGUUUCCUGUUUAAGGUUUAUUAUAACUGUGCACCAAAGAUUCCAUUUUUCUCUAAUUUCCCAUUGUUUGCCACUUCCAUGCUGUCUCCAAGUCUCCUAAGAACCUCUUCUUAAAUAGAAUGUCUCUCUUAGGUGUCUCAUUUGUAACCCACUGUUUUUAUAUAGGAGCUCUGUCAGUGUAGGGAUAAGAUUUUGAGGAAGGGAAGCAUUCCACCUUAAAAUUAUAUAUCAGUUUUUUUAAUGGACUUGAGUUCCCGAGUUGUAGCCAUCAGUAACUUUUCUCAACUUUUUUUUCCUAUUAUGCAAGACAGAAAAUCUAGAAUGACUAACAAUGUCUAGUUGCUCUUCCUCUUCAUCAGAUAAGGCUGUAGCAAAGUAGCUUCCCUUGAGCACAAUCUCAUUAGAGAAAGUAGAACUGUCUGGGCUUAUUUCAAAGUGGUUACUUCUGUUCUUCACUGCUCACAGAAGAGAAGAUUGUCUCUCAUAUUUUACUCACCCCUGGUGGGUCUUCUGAAGGCCAAACCCACACCAGUAUAGGAGGCCCCCUAAAACUGGGUACAGUGGAUUUUAACUCUGGAGUUAGUCUGAAGUCAGCUUUCAGCAGUUCAUCAGUUGCUGUUUAUUUGUUCCUACCAGUUUCUAUCUCCAUAUGUCUCUGGUCCCGGUAAACUGUGAUUCUCUAUAUUUGCAUGUCUGUCUGGUUUUUGCUGUGGCAGUUUGUGAUGUGACCUCAGUGCUCUUGCAGAUCUAAUUAAAGUUGCUGAUUUUUAGUUUGUUCAGCUGUUUUUGUAUAGUCAGAACAGGAAAGAUAAUUUCAGAGCUCUUUGUGUGUCAGAGCUAAUCAGGAGGCAUGACCAGUAUGCAACUAGAAGCAGGGGUCUGAAAUCCAUAUGUACUUAGGCCAUGGCCCAUGGGGACAGGCAUAUUGAUUACUUCCAGUGGUCACUGACUCCUUCAUAAAACCAGCUUUUCAGCUAAACUGCAUUCUACAAAUGUACUACUUGCUAGGUUACUGGUCAAUUAAAUGCAGUCUUCAAAAGAAAGACCUUUUAGUGAGAUUUGGCUUUGUGAUUUGAACUGGCCUUUUUGUUUCCACUCUGUCCAAUCCCAGAGGCCUUUUCAGCUGGUGAAUGGGUUUCUCAUACGUUCUGUGCAUUGCUAUUACUCUUAAUGUAUUCUAGAACAUGAUUUUUCUGGCUUGUAAGCAUCUCCAACCCAACUUAUGAGUUUUCAGCUCUUUGGAUUUAAAUCAGAAACAUUUUAGUAAGUCUGAGCCCUAGAGACCCACUACUAAUAAGACUAUCACUAGGAUGAAUGGAUGAAGGGUGUGUGUGUGUGUGUGUGUGUGUGUGUGUGUUCAAACCUGUAUCAGUGAUUUUAUAAAUUUAUACCUAUGUUAUAAAUUUAUGUAUCUGAUUUCUAUGCUAGGUCUAGUAAUAUAUAUAUAUAUACAUAUAUAUAUACACUUAUCUAAAUCUUUUUGAACAAUUAUAUAAUAAGAAUUAUUUAAUACCUAUCUUUGUAAGCACAUUUAUAAACUUUUGACAUGAGAUUUGUAAGUUCCUAACCAGCAUUAAUAUUAUAUUAAGAAAUUUGUAAUAAAAGUGUCUAACAUCUCUUUUCAUAAAAUAUAUAACAGUUUAGAAAAAUAGUGUAUUUUAAGGCAUAUGUGGAGCAAACUGACAUAUUCUUUCAUCUACAAAAGUUGCAAGAAGUUCAUGAGAAACAAAAAGAUUGAGUUGUCAGUAUUCAUAGUGCUUCUCCCUGUUCAUUUAUUACUUUGUGCACCAGCAUAUUCUGGUAAAUGCUUAAUAACUGGUUCUCCCAAAAGAAAUGCCCCAAGUGUGGAAUCUAUUAACUUCUUUAGUGCAAAUACCCCCAUAAUGGUCAAUUCCAGGGCCGCGUAACACUGAGUAGCAGAGGCAUGCACUAAUCAGAUCUCAUUAGGUCCUAAGGACUGACUGGAGCAUUUGCUGCCUGUAAACAGGAGACAAAGGAUUGUUAGGGGCAUCAUAACUGUCUGAGAGUGUUGGGAGCAAUGCUACAUAAUACUAGGGAAAAAUCAUUUGAGUAGGCCUAGUUCUCCUGCCUACAGCCCAGCUAGGACAUUCCAGACAUAAUUGCAUUUUGGCCUCUGGUCACAACUGAGACCUCAGUGAUCCCCCCCCCCCCAUGCUGCAAUCUCCAGGACAAGACCACACCUGUGGGAGAUGCCAGGGAGGAACCAAAUCUUCAUCUGCAUAAUUCCUCAUUGUUCUUAGAUUUCCACUGCCCCCCAGCUUUUUGUUACACCUUGUUUAUCCCAAUGUGAAGUACUGAACUCUAUUUUUCACUUGUUACAUUUGUUUCCCCAUGUACUGAAUAAAAGGUGCUGGAAGCUAGACGGUUUUUGUCUUUGCCACCCAGAGCAGCACUGAUCAGACCCAAAGCUCAGCUUCUUCUCAGUCUCAUUUGUCUACCUUUCCUGUAAUUCGCUGUGUGCUGCCAUGGCUCACAGGUGACUAGGACUUACUGCAGAGGUUCUGGUAAUGUCCCCUUCCCCUGUUCCCUACAUGAGAGUGUUCAUAUUUUACAAAGAUGAGGGGAAAGUCAGAGGUUGGGGCUGGUGAGGCUUCUCAGUGAUUUUUCAUGGAGAUUUUGCUGGUUUCUGAGUGAUGAUGUGGGCUUUAAAAAUAUAUGGACCAUUUGAUUUUCAGAUACCUAGGCAAUCAAGGUGAUAUUUGUGUUAUCAUGCUUUUUGUGUGUCAGGUAGGAAAAAAAUUGUCAGUUGGGAAAUAAUGCUGUUUUUUUAUUCCUUAGCAUUUAGAGUUUAAAUAUAAUGACUUUAGUAAUAAUCCUACUAAUAACUAUAUGUGUCUUGGUAAGAUAUACUAUUUUUUCCACAGUAUUGACCAUUUAAUCAUUGAAGGUGUUAUGUGAAGAGAAUAUGAUGACUCUGAGAAUGUUGCUGGUACUGAAGUUUUGAUGGGAUCCAAAGAGUGUUAACGGUUCCCUAAUGAUGAAAGUGGACCAAGGUUAUUUGUUGGUAUCUUGAUAGAACAGACUGUGUCCUUAAAUGUAUUUAUCACAUGGAUCUACUUAGGUUCCAGUCAAGACAUCACUGUGUACAUACAUGUUUAUUAAUGGAGCUUUCCAGGUAUCCAGGCAAGUGAUAAGGAAGGAUAGAUAACACCCUUGACUAACACUGAGAAACCAUGAAAUUAGAACUGUGACACUGGAACUUGUGUUCUCAAGUCUUUUGCUCUCCCAUCAAGCUCUUUCCAAGUGCACAGAGAUGAGCUGCUGUUACAUUUCUCAUUAAAGAUGUUGUUUCCAGACAUCAAGGUAAUUAAUGAUACUGUUGAAAUUCUUCUACUGAAAUUGUUUUUGGUAUGUGUGCAGAUGAAAUAAUGGCCAGCUUAAGUGGGAAUGCUCAGCUUAACUGAGGGUGAUUCUGCAUGUGGGUGACCCACCUAAGGAUUGUUGCCAGAACUGCAUAAAAGGAGGAUAGGAGGGGAGGAAUGCUGGCUGCUGAUUUCCCAGGAGAAGCUUUGUUGGAACUGGAACUCAGUGGCUUUUCUUGCUGUUGCUCCCUCAGUGGGUGGGUGGGGGGGGGUGCUGGUCUUUGCCUUUGUCUUGAGCAUCACUCCCUGGUUCCAGUGCAGAUCCCUCAGUGUUCUGGCACAGAUUGUUCACCCUGCCGGCAUAGACUUUUGAGCUUCUACCACUGGCCCUUGGGCCUUUUGGUGCAGAUUCUUGAUAUGAACUUGCAUGAGACAUUGCUGAGGGCUGUAGGCCUCUGGCUGGACUCAUGUGGAAUAUUAUGUGGAAAGAUCUAUUGCACUUUUCUGGGUUUGACUUUUUGGGAGAAUAUUGUAAGACAGUCCUAUAAAUUUGUAUAUCCUGUGGUAAAUCUGUUUCCUUGGAAACACCGACUAGAACAGUAUGUUUAUAGGUAAAAAAUAAAUUUGUAACAGUAAACAUGGAUUUUUCUUUAUUUGCAGGUAUAGACAUGCAAUAAGAUGUGCACCAAACACUGGGAUUUUUAGAUUUCUGUCAAGACCUUAUAGUAACCCUUUCAACUGUUGGUCAGCACACCAUGUAGGUAGGUGGUUUCAUGUAGGUUCUGAUGUAGGCCCAAACCACAGCACAGCUUGGCAAUCUUACUGGUUUUACCUUCUCAAGUAUUCUUAAAGAUGUAUUUUCUAAAGCCUUUGCAGAUUUCUAUCAUGAGAUCACAGUUAAUCUAACAUCAGCCUUUAAUGGCAGACAUUGCUGUUAUGCAAACAAGUGCUGAUGUAGACCAAAACUAAAGCACAGACCACCUGAUCUUCAGAUCACAUGAGGCAAGUGGUUAUGGUUUCCCUACCACUUGCCAUCAUGAUUUCUUUGCCAGUAUUCAGGUGAGGAAUAAUAACAUCCUUAGGAACACUUGAAACCAUGCAGUUUCUUUUCUGUAUUUCAGAGAGAAUGUGUAACCCUGUAAGGAGGUUGCACAUAUCCAAGUAUUUAUCACAUAGUCCCAACUAUAGUAAUCAUAGGAACUAGGCAGAUAUUCCACGAAGAAAUGUUGUCUUAUCUGACAUUAUCCUUGACCUUGGAGAACCACAAGAAUCCAGGUAGAGUCCUGUGAUCAUGGAUGUAAUAGAAGCUAUUCAACAGUUCCUGGUAGGUUGUGUCUUGAUUCCUGUCAAGGGUUAACAGUGAACUUAAAAAGUUCAUUAUCAGGAGAUAUUUCUGUAUUAGAGUAAAUAUUUUCAUGUACAGCACAUGCCAGACCGACCAUUAGAUCAUCAAAUAUCUGGGUCAGUGAUGUUUGUUUCCCUACAAUUUUUAUCAUAUGAUUAAAAAAAUGUAAGUAUGUAGAUAAGGAAUGCAGUAUUUCAUAUUCUAGAAACCAUAUUAUUGCAUUAUCUUACAUUUAGAGAGAAUUUACCCUGGGAAUUUCAAAUGACUUUCAUGUACUCAGGUUAUUAUUAUGCAUUUAUGCAUCAUGGUAGUUAACAAGUUAAAUAUUAGCAGUCAUGAGAUAAUGAGGUUUGGAACAAUGAUGUUCAUCAUAAAAUAAUCAAGAAUACAAGUAGAGUUGAUGAGUCCAGGUAGAAAUGAAAUCUUGCAAUAAUGACAAUAAAGAAAGUUAUUUGAAGGGUCCCAGUAGAAAAGUCUUACCAUACAUAUACUUGUCACCCAUGUUUUUACAUUUCCAUGCAGAUACGGUGGUAAGUCUCAUGAUGACCAACAGUGGCAGUUUGUUGUAUCCAUGGCCAUGAUGAUCAAGAGGGAUAUUGUAAGUGUGGGGUUCUUACAUUUAUUUUAGCAUGUUUCCUGUACAUAUUUAGUAAAGGAAUGAUUCUGUUUACCACUGCUAGUAACAAGUAGCUUAUUAUAUAAAGUUUUGAUAAACUCUGAAUUUAAUCCUAGGAGGUGUGGAGGCAUAUGCAGGGAUCCAUGUAAGUUAUUCAACUGAUCCACAUCACAGUAUUGACCAUAAUUUUUUCUACAGGUAGCCAGCCAAGAGAAAAUGGUGUGAAGAACAACAUCUCUGACCUUGAAGUUCUAAAGAUCUAAGUACUUCAGUUGGUUUCCCUGAUGAUGGAGUUCCUCUGAAGACACUGUGAUUAUCCUACCCAUGGGAGUGAGUAAAGUCCAUAGAGGGUUAUGAGAUGCCCUUCAAGAGAACACAGUGAUCCAGAAAAGAUGGUUGUUGCAGUCACCCUAGUAACAAGGGACAGUCAUGUCACAGUGAGCAGCACAGUAUAAUCAGGUGGAUGCAUACAGACAUCCAGGUUCCUUCAAGGGAAGAUGAGCAGACUAUGGCUGGAACUGCAUGCAGGUGUCAGAUUGGCUAUUGAUGGUGAACCUCUGAUUCUGCCCUCUUCAUCGACAAGUGUGGUGCUCUGUGCCUUCUUGCUGUCACGAGGAAGCAUCAGAUGCUAUUGGUUCCCUUCCAGGAGAGAUGACGUGUAUUUCACACUUGUCCCACUAGGGGAGUAAGCAGGGCAUGAGGUCACUGUGACAGAGUGGGUCCCUGAGAUGGGGAUUGGAGUGAAUUGGGAGGUAUCUCCUCAAAGGCAUCCAUUACCAUUGCAUGGCUAGUUUGUUGACAAGAAGGAGGGAGGAGCGUGGUGGUGGUGAUGGAACCUGAAUGAUAGGAUGACAUGGGAGUUGUACAGGUAGACACGGAGGAGACCACAAAGGGUAGAAUCUCUUGUGCUUCUUUUCCAGUGAGGGAGUCCACAGCUCAUGGUGAGCCCUGAACAUCACCAGGAUCUGUAUAAGGACAGCCAUGGACCUUCACUGCAGCAUAGGCAGGGAAUAUCCAUGGCCUUCACUAAGUGAUAUUGGGGUCCCUGAUGUGGAGUCGUGGGGUAGUGGGGUUGCUGUGACUUUGCUUUAGGUUCUGGAGCCCAGGAGAGCAAUGAAGGAAGAACUGAGCCAAUCCACUGACCCUGAAUUUUUCCUUCGUGUAUAG